rnacentral:rRNA from 1 species
AAUAAGCUAAAUAAGAGCGUAUGGGGAAUGCCUAGGCUCUCAGAGGCGAUGAAGGACGUGAUAAGCUGCGAAAAGCUGCGGGGAUUGGCACAUACAAAUUGAUCCGCAGAUAUCCGAAUGGGGCAACCCAGCAUGUUGAAGACAUGUUAUCCGUAAGGAGGCGAACCCGGAGAACUGAAACAUCUAAGUACCCGGAGGAGAAGAAAAACAAAAGUGAUUCCGAUAGUAGCGGCGAGCGAACUUGGAAUAGCCCAAACCAGUAUUGUUACGGCAAUACUGGGGUUGUAGGACUGCGAUAUUUGAGCUAUAAUG